AGGACCUGCCAGGACGUCCAGAGAGUGUGGGCGGAAGCUGCUUCCCAGUGGAGCCUGGCCAGGGGGCGACUGCCAGACAGUGAGGCGGAUGAGUCAGCCCUGAAAGCGAUCCUGGCCAUGACCUAGUGGGAGAGGAGAGAACAGAAGGGGCAGUCAGGAACCGACAGAGAAGCUUGAUUGUAAAGAGUGUUAACUCUUCAAGGGAAGGCCCAGAUGGAAGAGGCCCCCACCUGUAACGCCAAGGUGAGCUCAUCCCCAGGUACCACAAUGACCUGAGGUGCUUGUAAAAGAUGCCACUCUCUCGGUGCUUGGCUAGGAGCAAGCUACGGCAUGGAGAACAGGGAUAGACCCACGUGAAAAUCUGGACCUGCUUCUUCGUGGAUGAAGGAAUGUGCACCCAGGAGGCCAGGACCCCUGGUCACCUGCAUGAAGGGUUUGAGGUGGUGCCGCACAUUCCAGAAGGUGAUGUGGUCUCAGAUGAUGCCCAUGGGCACUGUCAGGGUGGGUCCAGGACUGCAGCUGCCUGGGCUGUUUAUUCUGCAGGCAGACAUGCCCUGGGGGCCAGUCUGAAGAGCAGCUCAGAGAAGGUGAUCAAGCUCCAUUUUCAAAAACAAAACAAAAAAGUGAAGACAGACUAACACCCAGUAAACAUGAUGUGACCAGGGCUGCCACUUCCGGAGCACCCUGAGAGUCAAGACCAAAGAUCACCAGCAGCCUCUGAUUUGAACUUCAGAUUGGAUCUGGAGGCUAAGCAUUCUCAGCCUGCUCUAAAGCUGGACAGGCUUCCUGACGCCAGAGCUGGCUGCUGGACCUGAGGAUGCACCACAGGAGGCUGAGCCUCCUCCCACAGCGGGGAGAUGGUGCCCAGGUGAAAGACACGUGUCCUGAGAGAAACCCCUCGGCCCAUCACUCAUCACAGAGGGGCUGGGGAACAGCUCCUACUUUUCUCUCGAGCAGUGAUAACAUGUGAUUUCCCAGGUCAAUCUUGAUUUCAGAAAUGUUAAAAAUAAAUGGGCCUGGAAGACUUGUAAUUUGAGAAUAAGACUUGAAAACAAGUGAAAAGCAGUGAGAAUAGAUUUUGGUGCCUCCUAGACUUUUCUCAUUGGCUGCACACAUUUAGCCUUGAAAGUAAGUAAGCUUAUAUAGCUGGUGUUCUUCAAUCAUUUCACAUGAAACUGUUAGGUAUGUUCUGUAUAAAAAUGCAUGUGAAAGAUAUUGUGACAAAGGAAAACAAACCUACUUGAGGAUUCUUAAGAAAAGAAAAAGGGUUGUUACUGAGAUGUCUGUGGUCUCGAAAAGUGACUAUAUCCUCUUGCCUGAGGCUGAGACAAGACACGUCGGGCGGUCCCACUGCAUCUGCCUCACCCACCCUCUGGUGAACCAGGUGGGGAAGUCCUCCUCCUGCAGUGGAUGCACACAGACUCUCCUCACAGCUCAGAGAAAAGGCUGCUUCUGUCCACAUGUGGCUUGGCAAUCCAGGGCACCUGUCUGGGGAAUAAAAAGUCAUCCUGGGAGGUGCUUCCAUGGUGGCCUCUGGCAGAAUGACACCUUCUCAGGUACAGGACUCCACAUCCCCUUUCUGAGCCACUGGCUGAGUCGGGCGCUCUUGUAUGAGUGGGGAAUAGAAGCAAAGAUGUUGCUAACACCCUGCUUUGAAAGAUGCUUCCUAUUUAGAGUGAUCUCAGGUCUAUCUGAGGCUCGAGGCACCGUAAGUCAAGAGGAGACAAUGCCACAUGCUGAACCAGGGUCAGGCAGGUACAUGCACGCAUUGCAAGGCUGUGAGGGAAUCCUUGAGGGAGAUGAGAGGAUGGAAGCUAGGGGUCAAAAGAGGAAGCACCAACGUGAAGGGAAAUGUUGACUGUGACCCACAGCAUCAAGACAAACACAUGAGCAGUUUGGAGAGGAGCCCCAGGUGAAGCUUAUUCUGGGAAAAGAGAAUAUAAGGGGUGACUUUUACUAAAGAUUCAGCUCUGAACAGAACCCAGAUAUCAUAGGGUUGCUUGUCAUGCAUCUACAUCUCCAACAAGACAUGCUAGAAGUGAUGAGAGCUUGUUACACUCAGACGUGUGACCUGGAGACUCUGAGUUCGAAUUCUAUUCUUUUGAGGCCUGCAGACAUGUCUUUGUCUUGUCUCCUAAUCUCCUUUCUGUUUAGGAAAAGACAGAACACCAGAGCCACUGUCAAAAUGGUGAGGAUGGGAUCUUGUUUUGUGGAUUCCACCAUAAUGCUAACAUAGCCCAGACUGUUGCUUUCUGUCUCCGGUUCCAUGACUUCUUAAUGACAAACUUGUUAAAAUAUGGUUUUAUUUCCAAAAUUUAAAUGCAGGUGAGACACAAUACUUCUUAAAUACUGUUUCUACCAUCUAUUCCUCCUCUUGUCCUUUUGCUUCCACUAAUAUGUAGGAAUAGCAAAAGCAUAAUUACAUGAGAAGUGAUGCUUGGCUUAGCUGCAUGUGGGAGAGGAGGAACUGGAAAAGAAAGAGAGCGUUCCAUUAAGAGAGGACAAAACAACACACACAGAGAAAGACAGGGACAAGAGACAGCAACAAUGGAAACAUCAUUCUUCAUAUCUUCACACUUUUCAACACUGGCUUCCUCAGCCUAUGAGAUAUCACACCAUUUACAGAGAAUAAAGGGAGGUCUAGAAUUGCCGAGGUUUGCCAAAGUUCACACAGUUCGACAGUCAUUGAAUGCAAGACCCAGGCAUGCAAGCUCCUGCUGUCAACAGGGGGAAAGGAAGGGUGGAAUCAGAUCAGAUUCCCUCCUCUACCACAGCGUAUACAGUUGUAACAGGGAGGCCUGCUUCCACAGGGAGCCAACUUCAGCCAUCCUCUCCCUUCUCUUGCCUUCUCUAUUCUUCAUCUGUAGCUCCUUUCCUGCAGCUGCUAGAGACACCAUCAUGUGCAA
rnacentral:lncRNA from 1 species